rnacentral:rRNA from 1 species
UGCAAGUCGAGUGCGCAGUCUGCUGUAGCAAUACAGCAGGCCGGCGCACGGCGCACGGGUGCGUAACACGUGGGCAACCUGCCCUCUAAAGGGGGAUAACCCGCCGAAAGGCGGGCUAAUACCGCAUGACAUUCCGGUGGCUUCGGCUGCCGGAAUCAAAGCCCGCAAGGGCGUUGGAGGAGGGGCCCGCGGCCGAUUAGCUUGUUGGCGAGGUAACGGCUCACCAAGGCUUUGAUCGGUAGCCGGUCUGAGAGGAUGGCCGGCCACACUGGAACUGAGACACGGUCCAGACUCCUACGGGAGGCAGCAGUGGGGAAUCUUGCGCAAUGGGCGAAAGCCUGACGCAGCGACGCCGCGUGGGGGAUGAAGCUUCUCGGAGUGUAAACCCCUUUCGACCCGGACGAAACGCCCGCAAGGGCCUGACGGUACGGGUAUAAGAAGCCCCGGCUAACUACGUGCCAGCAGCCGCGGUAAGACGUAGGGGGCCAGCGUUGCUCGGAAUUACUGGGCGUAAAGGGUUCGUAGGCGGUGCGGUAAGUCGGAAGUGAAAUCUCUGGGCUUAACUCAGAGGCUGCUUUCGAAACUGCCGUGCUCGAGUGCGGGAGAGGCGAGUGGAAUUGCAGUGUAGCGGUGAAAUGCGUAGAUAUCUGCAGGAACACCCGUGGCGAGCGGCUCGCUGGACCGCAACUGACGCUGAGAACGAAAGCUAGGGGAGCAAACAGGAUAGAUACCCUGUAGUCCUAGCCCUAAACCAUCAGACUUGGGGUGGCCGCGUUGGCGGG